AAAUUGAAGAGUUUGAUCAUGGCUCAGAUUGAACGCUGGCGGCAGGCCUAACACAUGCAAGUCGAACGGUAACAGGAAACAGCUUGCUGUUUCGCUGACGAGUGGCGGACGGGUGAGUAAUGUCUGGGAAACUGCCUGAUGGAGGGGGAUAACUACUGGAAACGGUAGCUAAUACCGCAUAACGUCGCAAGACCAAAGAGGGGGACCUUCGGGCCUCUUGCCAUCGGAUGUGCCCAGAUG
rnacentral:rRNA from 1 species